UAGGAAUCUUCCACAAUGGACGCAAGUCUGAUGGAGCAACGCCGCGUGAGUGAAGAAGGUUUUCGGACCGUAAAGCUCUGUUGUUGGUGAAGAAGGAUAGAGGUAGUAACUGGCCUUUAUUUGACGGUAAUCAACCAGAAAGUCACGGCUAACUACGUGCCAGCAGCCGCGGUAAUCGUAGGUGGCAAGCGUUGUCCGGAUUUAUUGGGCGUAAAGCGAGCGCAGGCGGAAGAAUAAGUCUGAUGUGAAAGCCCUCGGCUUAACCGAGGAAUUGCAUCGGAAACUGUUUUCUUGAGUGCAGAAGAGGAGAGUAGAACUCCAUGUGUAGCGGUGGAAUGCGUAGAUAUAUGGAAGAAUACCAGUGGCGAAGGCGGCUCUCUGGUCUGCAACUGACGCUGAGGCUCGAAAGCAUGGGUAGCGAACAGGAUUAGAUACCCUGGUAGUCCAUGCCGUAAACGAUGAGUGCUAAGUGUUGGGAGGCUUCCGCCUCUCAGUGCUGCAGCUAACGCAUUAAGCACUCCGCCUGGGGGAGUACGACCGCAAGGUUGAAAC
rnacentral:rRNA from 1 species